AACGAACGCUGGCGGCAUGCCUAACACAUGCGAGUCGAACGAGACCUUCGGGUCUAGUGGCGCACGGGUGCGUAACGCGUGGGAAUCUGCCCUUGGGUUCGGGAUAACAGUUGGAAACGACUGCUAAUACCGGAUGAUGACUUCGGUCCAAAGAUUUAUCGCCCAGGGAUGAGCCCGCGUCGGAUUAGCUAGUUGGUGAGGUAAGAGCUCACCAAGGCGACGAUCCGUAGCUGGUCUGAGAGGAUGAUCAGCCACACUGGGACUGAGACACGGCCCAGACUCCUACGGGAGGCAGCAGUGGGGAAUAUUGGACAAUGGGCGAAAGCCUGAUCCAGCAAUGCCGCGUGAGUGAUGAAGGCCUUAGGGUUGUAAAGCUCUUUUACCCGGGAUGAUAAUGACAGUACCGGGAGAAUAAGCCCCGGCUAACUCCGUG
rnacentral:rRNA from 1 species